UACGGGGGGGGCAAGCGUUGUUCGGAAUUACUGGACGUAAAGGGCGCGUAGGCGGACCGCCAAGUCCGAGGUGAAAUCCUCCAGCUCAACUGGAGAACUGCCUCGGAUACUGGAGGUCUCGAGGGAGGUAGGGGCAAGCGGAACUGUGGGUGGAGCGGUGAAAUGCGUUGAUAUCCACAGGAACUCCGGUGGCGAAGGCGGCUUGCUGGACCUUUUCUGACGCUGAGGCGCGAAAGCCAGGGGAGCAAACGGG
rnacentral:rRNA from 1 species